AACGCUAGCUACAGGCUUAACACAUGCAAGUCGAGGGGCAGCAUUAGGUAGCAAUACUGAGAUGGCGACCGGCGCACGGGUGCGUAACGCGUAUCCAACCUUCCCGUUACUCAUGGAUAGCCUUCCGAAAGGGAGAUUAAUACAUGAUGGUGUUGAAAUUCCGCAUGUUAUUUCAACUAAAGAUUUAUCGGUAACGGAUGGGGAUGCGUGACAUUAGAUAGUAGGCGGGGUAACGGCCCACCUAGUCUACGAUGUCUAGGGGUUCUGAGAGGAAGGUCCCCCACACUGGAACUGAGACACGGUCCAGACUCCUACGGGAGGCAGCAGUGAGGAAUAUUGGUCAAUGGCCGGGAGGCUGAACCAGCCAAGUAGCGUGAAGGAUGAAGGUUCUAUGGAUUGUAAACUUCUUUUAUGAGGGAAUAAAACCUCCCACGUGUGGGAGCUUGUAUGUACCUUAUGAAUAAGCAUCGGCUAACUCCGUGCCAGCAGCCGCGGUAAUACGGAGGAUGCGAGCGUUAUCCGGAUUUAUUGGGUUUAAAGGGAGCGUAGACGGGAGAUUAAGUCAGCUGUGAAAGUUUGAGGCCCAACCUUAAAUUGCAGUUGAUACUGGUUUCCUUGAGUGCGGUUGAGGUGUAUGGAAUUCGUGGUGUAGCGGUGAAAUGCUUAGAUAUCACGAAGAACUCCGAUUG
rnacentral:rRNA from 1 species